CAUGGAACAGUCGGGAAACUGAGGCUAGGAGAGGCAGGGACUGGCCGGGAACCCACCAGGUGAGCAGAGCCUAGAGGGGCUGGGGGAGGUUUCGGGCUCCUAGGCCAGGGCUUCACUUUCCCAUGGGGUUUUUGAGGGAAUGAGAGCCUCUAAGAUCCUGGAGGACCGCUGAACCCAUCCCAUGUGGGGUCCUUUCCUCUGGGCAUCCCUGAGUGGGCACAGGUCCACGCAAUUGCAUGGAAACACAGUCCCCCGCCCCCAGUAACUAAUCACCCACGUGGGUAUCAAAGGAUGAGUGGACUCUGGAGUUGACAGGCGGUGGGGGAGAAAAGUGGUGUGGGGCGGGGACAUUGUCUCCAGGGAACAUGCCCAUGAGUGGAGCCAUGCCAGGCCGAUGGCCAGGGGAUCCCCAAGAUGCCCCCGUGUGUAUCACAGGCACCCCCAUUCUAGAGAAGCACCCCACUCAGCUCCCGUGGUUGGAGACCUUCGAGUGCGCAACGUGUUCUCAUGCUGUGUCAUGAUAUCUCGAGGCUGUGGUCUCAGGAGAGCCCACAGGGAGAGCCUUUUCCCACUUGCAGACGGUGGGUCCGGUCUCACCCCCGAAGCCUCUGGUCACUUGCCCGGAGGGACUCAAAGGUGACAUGGGAGGCCCUGGCUUGGCCGGUCUAGCCUGACACGGCCCUGAUCCGACUGAAAUCAACUGAUGAAAUCGGGAAAUGUCUGGCCGAAUCCCGAUACACCUGCCCUACAGAGUUGUGCGUGUGCCCCGUCGCCCAGGAGGGCUACCCUGGACCGAGGAAGAGAGUGGCUGCAGGGAGGUCUUGGGAAGAUAAGCCUGGAGAUGUUCUGGGAAGGCCUCCUUCACCGCCCAGUCCCCCACUGGGUCCUGGUUCACGGGUCCUGGGAUCAGGACCCGGAGCCCCCGGAGCCAGAGCCCGAGGAGUCCGGGGCAGGAGCGGAAGCCGGUGCGGCUCCAGAGCCCGACCCAAGGGCAU